rnacentral:rRNA from 2 species
GAGUAAUGUCUGGGAAACUGCCUGAUGGAGGGGGAUAACUACUGGAAACGGUGGCUAAUACCGCAUAACGUCGCAAGACCAAAGAGGGGGACCUUCGGGCCUCUUGCCAUCAGAUGUGCCCAGAUGGGAUUAGCUUGUUGGUGAGGUAACGGCUCACCAAGGCGACGAUCCCUAGCUGGUCUGAGAGGAUGACCAGCCACACUGGAACUGAGACACGGUCCAGACUCCUACGGGAGGCAGCAGUGGGGAAUAUUGCACAAUGGGCGCAAGCCUGAUGCAGCCAUGCCGCGUGUAUGAAGAAGGCCUUCGGGUUGUAAAGUACUUUCAGCGGGGAGGAAGGUGUUGUGGUUAAUAACCGCAGCAAUUGACGUUACCCG